GCGGCGUGCCUAAUACAUGCAAGUAGAACGCUGAAGGAGGAGCUUGCUUCUCUGGAUGAGUUGCGAACGGGUGAGUAACGCGUAGGUAACCUGCCUGGUAGCGGGGGAUAACUAUUGGAAACGAUAGCUAAUACCGCAUAAGAGUAGAUGUUGCAUGACAUUUGCUUAAAAGGUGCAAUUGCAUCACUACCAGAUGGACCUGCGUUGUAUUAGCUAGUUGGUGGGGUAACGGCUCACCAAGGCGACGAUACAUAGCCGACCUGAGAGGGUGAUCGGCCACACUGGGACUGAGACACGGCCCAGACUCCUACGGGAGGCAGCAGUAGGGAAUCUUCGGCAAUGGACGGAAGUCUGACCGAGCAACGCCGCGUGAGUGAAGAAGGUUUUCGGAUCGUAAAGCUCUGUUGUAAGAGAAGAACGAGUGUGAGAGUGGAAAGUUCACGCUGUGAC
rnacentral:rRNA from 1 species